GUAUUCCAGUUCCAAUAGCGUAUAUUNAAGUGUUGCAGUAAAAAGCUCGUAGUGGAUUUNCGGGCGGNUUUCGUCGGUCCCCCUCUGGUGUGCACUGCCGAAGCUCGCCUUUCUGUCGAGGACGGGCUCCUGGGCUUCAUUGCUCGGGACUCGGGCUCGACGAGGUUACUUGAGUAAAUUAGAGUGUUCAAAGCAGGCGAUCGCCCUGAAUACAUUAGCAUGGAAUAGCAUGAUAGGACUCUGGCCUAUCUUGCUGGUCUGUAGGACCGGAGUAAUGAUUAAGAGGGACAGUCGGGGGCAUUCGUAUUUCAUUGUCAGAGGUGAAAUUCUUGGAUUUAUGAAAGACGAACUUCUGCGAAAGCAUUUGCCAAGGAUGUUUUCAUUGAUCAAGAACGAAAGUUGGGGGCUCGAAGACGAUUAGAUACCGUCGUAGUCUCAACCAUAAACGAUGCCGACCAGGGAUUGGCGGGUGUUCUUUUAAUGACCCCGCCAGCACCUUGAGAGAAAUCAGAGUCUUUGGGUUCCGGGGGGAGUAUGGUCGCAAGGCUGAAACUUAAAGGAAUUGACGGAAGGCNCCACCA
rnacentral:rRNA from 1 species